CCCCUUGGUAGUUGAUGUUUUAACCUGUGCUGAUUUAUUGUGUGCUUUGUUUUCUUUAGCUUUUUCUUUUUAAAGCUUAAAGAAAUAAUUUUUGCCUUAGGUUUGCUGUGACUUUUUAAAAAAGAACACAGCCUGAACAUUGACAAAAUCAUCUUUGCUUUGCUGUGCGCCUGUUUAUGCUUCUGAACACAAAUUGUCUUCUAAUAUUUUUGACGUUUUGGUCACUAGAGAGGCAGAAAAGCAAUUUCUAAGAUGCCUAUGGGCCAGAAGACAUGCAUUACAGCAGAGGGGAAAGAAUCUGUUAGUUGCUGAAAUAUAAAACAAAUUGGAUGAACAGCUGCUGACACUUGUCAGUCAAAUAGUUGAUAGCAUUUUCAGUCUCCAUGCCACAUGCUUUUAAGUAAGUCUGUCAAAAAAAGGAUAUUUUCGCUGGACUUCCCUGUAAAUAUGAGAGAAGUUUUGGCCUGAUCUAUCAUUUAAAAUUUUGCUGGCAGAGGAAUGAAAUUUUCCUCUUUCCCCAAAACUGAUUGACAUAACUGUACUGGCAGAUUCUUCAUCUAGGUGCAGUUGUACUGGCAGAAAGUCCUUUGACUGUUGGAGCUUGUUCUGUCGCAGCAAUGGGUUGAAGUGAACCAGCAGCAGCUCUUUGCAUUCCUUGUCUGGCUUUGCCAGAGCUCCCAUCCGUCCGCAAGCCCUUUUCAGUGCUGCCCGAGCUUUACUGCACAGGAGCCUGAGCCCUGUCCAAACUGUGGUCUGUGGCCAGGAGGGUUUUAAACCCGGAUUGAUGGUUUUCAGACAAAACCAAACCAUUUUAAAUUUGACAUUUCUGCAGGAUUAACCCAAGGUGGUACGUCCUGCUCCCUGUACCACGGUACAGAAGCUGUUUAGGACAGGGUUGGGCUGCCAACCCACAUAACCAUGUGCAGGGUUAAAAGCAGUGGGGAUCAGGAUGCAGAGCUCUCCUUUGCUCAGCCACAGGCUGCAGGCUCUGGAGUGGGAGGUUAAAUCCUGCUUUGCAGCACUGCUUGUACGUGAGAUCUUCUCCCUGCUCCCACUGAAGUAUGUAACUUGAAGCUCAUCGUUUGGGUCCAAACUCCUUAAAAGUAGCUGGUUAAUGCUUCCUUGUUCUGGAUGUGUAGCCAAGCCUCUGGGUUGUUUUGGAAUCUCCGAGGUGCUUUAUUGGGAUUUGAGGACAUGCAAAAAGCUGUCACAGGCCAUCGGGUUGCUGCUCAUGACAGAGGAGCUCGGUUGAGCGCGUCCAUCACUGCCGUUCCAGGGAAGUACCGACGUGCGUUAGCGAUGCACAGCCAAGGAGCAUCUCCUGAAGGCUGCGCCCACACUCUCAUUCAAAAAACUGAGCAGGGCUCACUAUUUUGAAAGGUGGCAGGUGGAAGUGGGCUGUGUUUUUACCCAAUAAAUAUUUUAUGGUGGAAAAAAAAAAAAGGAGCCAUUCCAAGAGCAGAAUCAAGCUGUUUCUCCAGCUCUGCUCUGCCUGCCUGAGAGCGGAGCUACAAAUCUGCGUGUCCCUCAGUGCUCUUUGCUACCAGCCUGGUGGCCAACCCAGUAAAGCUUUCCAAGUUCCUCCUCUUGGAGCUGUUGUGCUUCACAUAAAUAUCUGGGACAGCUGAAGGACAGGAUGAAGAGGGCACGAGCACACACAUGUGCAGCAGUAUGUGUGUGGGUCUCAAGUGGAUCUCAACCCCCUAGAAAGAAGGGCUUAUGUUCAUUGCUUUAUGUCUUGUGAGAUUGGUUUUGUCAGGCAAAUCCUGUGAGGGCUUCAAGGUGGGAUUGAAGGCUCCAAGCAAAAUGAGGUCAAGAUAUGGAUGGUUUUUGUAUGCAUCCCAGUGACAGACCUGCAGAGGCACCUGAGCUUGUUUUGAUAGACUCAGAUGACUUGAACAUUCAUUUUCUCUGGGGAUUUAGGACCAAGUAGUUGCACAGAUGGAGGGUGGGUAAGAAGGGGGAAAAGCUUCCUGUGUCAGUGGCCACAAAGCCAUGUUCCUGCCUAAGUCCGCAGAGGUGGCUUUCCUGGCAAUGCUUCCCUCUAUCAGCAGCAGGGAGCAAGACAAAAAUCAAGAAGGGGUCUGUUGGGCUACAGUCAAGAGUUCAAAACUUGUCUAUCCUUGUGUAUCAAAUGGCUUCUCAACACAUCAGUGGUGUUAAAUGUGCAUGUCCACUGCCCACUCCUGAAGUGAAGCCCCUGUUAAUGCACACACCAGGGGAGUGGUGUGUGCAGGACACCAGGGAAGGUGGGUGCUGCAUGUGUAGGGUGUGGCCAUCCAGGUGGGGCUGCAGAGCACCUCCAGAGCCAGGUUCUAAACUCUGUCACAGAGGGGAGGGACCCAAACAUCCAGCACUGCAGGUGAAUAUGCUCCAGGCUCCAUAAUUAUCCCAGCCCACUCUGGGACUCAGCACCCCCUUCACAGGCAGUUCCAGAGGUCCCAGUCUCCUCCCACACAUCCAGGGAGUGUCUCAUGGCUUUUGGACACUGGAAGUUGGUUUAGUUUAAUGGUUCAUUAUGUCAAUCAGGCUUGUCCAGAUAGGAAGGUUUUCCAACAUUUGUCUGUCUUUUAUUUGUGGGUGAUGAACAUUUGUCCUGGUUCCCCAGGCUGGCAACAGGAUGUUGUGCUUGGGCAUAAAGGACAUCAGCUCUUCUGCUUUUCUCUCAAAUGACUGGGACCUGGGCAAGCAGGAAGCAUUUCUGAUUUGAAUUGGCUGAUGGGAGGGAGGGACUGCAAAACCUCUCAGAAAACUCAACCUAGCAGAGAAUCACAGAGUGGCUUUAGUUGGAAGGGAUGUUAAAGAUCAUCUCAUUCCAACCCUCCUACCAUGGGCAGGGACUCCUUCCACUAGACCAGGUUGCUCAAAGCCCCAUCCAACCUGGCCUUGAACACUUCCAGGGAGGGGGCAUUCACGACUUCUCUCGGCAACCACUUCAAGUGUGUUUCCAUUAAACGUGUUUUCCAUCAAACCAGUCUGUUAUUUAAUUUCAGCUCAGGGUCUGCCCCUACCCUGUGUGUCUAAGUGCUGCUGCAACUGGCUGCUUUGGGAGAAAUUAAAAUACAAAAUGAGGCCUUUUGGAGGAAGACGAGGUACAUGCACGGAUACCAGGCAACCCCCAGCCUCCCUAGUCAUCCUCUUCAUCUUCCUCAUCGCUGUCCUUCAUGGUGAUCCCCUGGAGCCCUCCGCCUUCGCUGACCGACGCCGUGGCCUCCUCUACCGUCAGCCGGUUCCGGAUCGUCUCGUAGGUUUUGCUGUUCAAGGUGGAGUCCAGCACGCCUUGCAAUCGGAAAUCCCGGUAUGUUUUCUAAAGCAGGGAGAGGCACAGAGGGAGAAGACAACAGGGAGAGGUCAGGGCCCACACCAGCUCCCCUGCUUUGCCUCAGGGGCCAGCCGGUGCCCCUGCGCCAGGGGCUUGGGGCCGCUAAUGGAAGAGGCUGUGAUGCCAGGGAAAUCCCAGCCCCAGGGACAUUUUGCAUCACCCCAGACAAUGCACUGGCCACCACUUUGCCAUGGCAGAGGUUCCUUUAGGGUGCCUUGGGCAAAAAAAUUUACAGCUCUGCGACUCCAGCCCUGCCUUUGUGGGCUUGCGGGGUGGCCAGGCUGGGUGGCUUCAAAGCAGGGACGUGCGGGACUGCUCAGGGCAGCUUUGCAUCGGGGAGGCUGGGGUCUAAAAAGACAUCAAAGCAAGAGAUAAGGGCUCUGCUCCAGCUAACUUCCCUUGCUCCUGGCUGCGUUCUUCCUGCCUGUAAAGUCAGUUAUUUUCCCCAUCACCCAUAACCGCAGACGUGAUUACACAUUCCCGGAAUGCUCCGUAUUAAACAAUCCUACCUACAGUAUAGGGAUUAAAUGAACUAAGUCCAGGAUACUGGAGGAAAUUAUUAAAGUAUAAAUAUAAGCACAUGGCACGUGUUUCUUAAAUCUCUGUUUCUUCACCUCAAAUUGGAGUUGCAGUUCCAUGGUUCCCGUAUUUCCCUUGUUAUUACAAUUAACAUCUCUCAUUUGAAUUUAUGUUUAUAAACUUUUCGACUCUGUGAGAUAAAACUCUGGUCUCGUUGUUCAUUUAAUUCUGCUCUGUGCUCUGUGUGGAAACUAUUUACUGUUCUGCUAUUUCAGAAAGUCCUUGGGUUUGUUGUAGCUGCUUCUGAACGUAAUAUUGGUAUAAAUAAAGCACAAGGAAGAAAGCUUUCCUCAGUUAGCUGACAAGUAGAAA